GUAGACUACAAGGUUGAUAGGUCAGGAGUGGAAGUGCAGUAAUGUAUGGAGCGGACUGAUACUAAUAGGCCGAGGGCUUGACCUUA
rnacentral:rRNA from 1 species